UGAUUAAUAUCAAUCAGUGUUCUAAUGUUAACAAUACUUUCUAAAGAUUUAACAGUUUAUGGCUUUGAGUAGUAUGCAAUGGACAUAAUAAUAAUGA